rnacentral:RNase_P_RNA from 1 species
GAGAGUUGGCGCUGGCAGUUGCAGAUCAGUCAUCAAGACUGGUUUGAGGAAAGUCCGGGCUCCCGAAAGACCAGACUUGCUGGAUAACGUCCAGUGCGUGCGAGCGUGAGGAUAGUGCCACAGAAAGAUACCGCCAAGAAUGGGUAAUCGUUAAUGGGUAAUGGGUAAUGGGAAAAACACCAAUUACGAAUUACGAAUUACGAAUUAUCAAUUCUUGGUAAGGGUGCAAAGGUGCGGUAAGAGCGCACCAGCAGCGUCGAGAGGCGUUGGCUCGGUAAACCCCGGUUGGGAGCAAGGCCAGAGGAACUACGGUUGGUCUUUUACCAGUUCCGUGAAAAUAGAGCCGCUAGAGGCGUUUGGUAACAAGCGUCCCAGAUAGAUAACUGCCCUCGCAAGAGAACAGAACCCGGCUUACUACCAACUCUCUUUU